UACGAAGGGGGCGAGCGUUGUUCGGAUUUACUGGGCGUAAAGGGCGCGCAGGCGGCGGAUCAAGUCAGAUGUGAAAGCCCCGGGCUUAACCUGGGAACUGCAUUUGGGACUGGUUUGCUAGAGAUCGGGAGAGGAGAGUGGAAUUCCCAGUGUAGAGGUGAAAUGCGCAGAUAUCAGGAGGAACACCGGUGGCGAAGGCGGGACUCUGGGCCGAUACUGACGCUGAGGAGCGAAAGCGUGGGGAGCAAACAGG
rnacentral:rRNA from 1 species